rnacentral:rRNA from 1 species
UACGGAGGGAGCUAGCGUUGUUCGGAAUUACUGGGCGUAAAGCGCACGUAGGCGGCUUUGUAAGUUAGAGGUGAAAGCCCGGGGCUCAACUCCGGAACUGCCUUUAAGACUGCAUCGCUUGAAUCCAGGAGAGGUGAGUGGAAUUCCGAGUGUAGAGGUGAAAAUUCGUAGAUAUUCGGAAGAACACCAGUGGCGAAGGCGGCU